AAGUCGACGCCCCGCAAGGGGAGUGGCGCACGGGUGAGUAACACGUGGGAAUAUGCCUCUAGGUACGGAACAACCCAGGGAAACUUGGGCUAAUACCGUAUAAUGUCUUUGGACCAAAGAUUUAUCGCCUAGAGAGUAGCCCGCGUCUGAUUAGGUAGUUGGUGAGGUAAUGGCUCACCAAGCCUACGAUCAGUAGCUGGUCUGAGAGGAUGAUCAGCCACACUGGAACUGAGACACGGUCCAGACUCCUACGGGAGGCAGCAGUUAGGAAUAUUGGACAAUGGGCGCAAGCCUGAUCCAGCCAUGCCGCGUGAGUGAUGAAGGCCUUAGGGUUGUAAAGCUCUUUCGGCUGUGAGGAUAAUGACAGUAACAGCAGAAGAAGCUCCGGCUAAAUUCGUGCCAGCAGCCGCGGUAAUACGAAUGGAGCAAGCGUUGUUCGGAAUCACUGGGCGUAAAGCGUAUGUAGGCGGUCAUGCGAGUCAGGAGUGAAAUCCCAAGGCUCAACCUUGGAAUUGCUUUUGAAACUGCAUGGCUAGAGACUUGGAGAGGUUAAUGGAAUUUCCAGUGUACAGGUGAAAUUCCCAGAUAUUGGAAGGAACACCAGUGGCGAAAGCGAUUAACUGGACAAGUACUGACGCUGAGAUACGAAAGCGUGGGGAGCAAACAGGAUUAGAUACCCUGCUAGUCCACGCCAUAAACGAUGUAUGCUAGCUGUUGGAUACCUUGCUAUUCGGCGGCGCCGCUAACGCAUUAAUCAUACCGCCUGGGGAGUACGGUCGCAAGAUUAAAACUCAAAGCGAAUUGACGGGGACCCGCACAGGCGAUGCAGCAUGUUGUUUAAGUCGAAGCACCACGAAGAGCUUAUCUACACUUGUCAUCCCGAUUUUGCUUACACAGAUGGCCUGCUUCACUCGGCUGGAUCGGUGACAGAUGCUACAU
rnacentral:rRNA from 1 species